AUUGAACGCUGGCGGCAGGCCUAACACAUGCAAGUCGAGCGAGCGGCGGACGGGUGAGUAAUGUAUGGGGACUGCCCGAUAGAGGGGGAUAACUACUGGAAACGGUGGCUAAUACCGCAUACUAUCGGAUAACCCAUAUGGGAUUAGCUAGUAGGUGGGGUAAAGGCUCACCUAGGCGACGAUCUCUAGCUGGUCUGAGAGGAGGAUCAUCCACACUGGGACUGUGCAACGGCCCAGACUCCUACGGAGGAAGAAGUGGGUAAUAUUGCACAAUGGGCGCAAGCCUGAUGCGUCAAUGCCGCGUGUAUGAAGAAGUCCUUAGGUUUGUAAAGUACGUUCAGCGGGGAGGCGUUACCCGCAGAAGAAGCACCGGCUAACUCCGUGCCAGCAGCCGCGGUAAUUC
rnacentral:rRNA from 1 species